CAAUAGCGUAUAUUAAAGUUGUUGCGGUUAAAAAGCUCGUAGUUGGAUUUCUGCCGAGGACGACCGGUCCGCCCUCUGGGUGUGUAUCUGGUUUGGCCUGGGCAUCUUCUUGGAGAACGUAGCUGCACUUGACUGUGUGGUGCGGUGUCCAGGACUUUUACUUUGAGGAAAUUAGAGUGUUUCAAGCAGGCACACGCCUUGAAUACAUUAGCAUGGAAUAAUAAGAUAGGACCUCGGUUCUAUUUUGUUGGUUUCUAGAGCUGAGGUAAUGAUUAAUAGGGAUAGUUGGGGGCAUUCGUAUUCAACUGUCAGAGGUGAAAUUCUUGGAUUUGUUGAAGACGAUCUACUGCGAAAGCAUUUGCCAGGGAUGUUUUCAUUGA
rnacentral:rRNA from 1 species